AACGCGAAGAACCUUACCUGGGCUCGAACGGCUUCGGACAAACUGUGGAAACACGGUCUUCCCGCAAGGGACUGGAGUCGAGGUGCUGCAUGGCUGUCGUCAGCUCGUGUCGUGAGAUGUUGGGUUAAGUCCCGCAACGAGCGCAACCCUCGUCCUGUGUUGGCAUGCCGCAAGGCGCAACUCUCAGGAGACCGCCAGCGAUAAGCUGGAGGAAGGUGGGGAUGACGUCAAGUCAUCAUGGCCUUUAUGUCCAGGGCCACACACGUGCUACAAUGGGCGGUACAAAGCGCUGCCAACCCGCGAGGGGGAGCUAAUCGCCAAAAACCGUCCUCAGUUCGGAUUGCAGGCUGCAACUCGCCUGCAUGAAGCUGGAAUCGCUAGUAAUGCUAUAUCAGAACGAUAGCGUGAAUACGUUCCCGGGCCUUGUA
rnacentral:rRNA from 1 species